rnacentral:rRNA from 1 species
CUACCAUGGCUUUUACGGGUAACGGAGGAUUAGGGUUCGAUUCCGGAGAGGGAGCCUGAGAAACGGCUACCACAUCUAAGGAAGGCAGCAGGCGCGUAAAUUACCCAAUCCUGAUUCAGGGAGGUAGUGACAAGAAAUAACGUACGGAGGGCCUAGCCUUCUGGAACGCAAUGAGCCGAACUUACACCCCUUAGCGAGGACCGAUUGGAGGGCAAGUCUGGUGCCAGCAGCCGCGGUAAUUCCAGCUCCAAUAGCGUAUAUUAAAGUUGUUGCAGUUAAAAAGCUCGUAGUUGGAUUUCUGGGAGGGUGCCGAUGUCCGCAGUACGUGCGCGCUGAGGCGCCCUUCCAUCCUUCUGUUAGCGUCGCCUGGCAUUUAUUUGCCGGCGGCGUGCUCAGAUAGUUUACCUUGAGAAAAUUAGAGUGUUUCAGGCAGGCUAAGCCGGAAUACAUUAGCAUGGAAUAAUGGAAUAGGACUAUAGUCUCUUUGUUGGUUUGAGGGACAAUAGUAAUGAUUAAUAGGGAUAGUUGGGGGCAUUAGUAUUUGACUGUCAGAGGUGGAAUUCUCGGAUUUGUUAAAGACUAACUUAUGCGAAAGCAUUUGCCAAGGAUGUUUUCAUUAAUCAA